UUUAGAGUUUGAUCCUGUCUCAGGACGAACGCUGGCGGCGUGCCUAAUACAUGCAAGUCGAACGCUUCUUUCCUCCCGAGUGCUUGCACUCAAUUGGAAAGAGGAGUGGCGGACGGGUGAGUAACACGUGGGUAACCUACCCAUCAGAGGGGGAUAACACUUGGAAACAGGUGCUAAUACCGCAUAACAGUUUAUGCCGCAUGGCAUAAGAGUGAAAGGCGCUUUCGGGUGUCGCUGAUGGAUGGACCCGCGGUGCAUUAGCUAGUUGGUGAGGUAACGGCUCACCAAGGCCACGAUGCAUAGCCGACCUGAGAGGGUGAUCGGCCACACUGGGACUGAGACACGGCCCAGACUCCUACGGGAGGCAGCAGUAGGGAAUCUUCGGCAAUGGACGAAAGUCUGACCGAGCAACGCCGCGUGAGUGAAGAAGGUUUUCGGAUCGUAAAACUCUGUUGUUAGAGAAGAACCAAGGACGUUAGUAACUGAACUCCCCCC
rnacentral:rRNA from 1 species